CCUACGGGAGGCAGCAGUGGGGAAUAUUGGGCAAUGGAGGAAAGUCUGACCCAGCAACGCCGCGUGAAUGAUGAAGGUCUUCGGAUUGUAAAGUUCUUUUCUAAGGGAAGAAGAAAGUGACGGUACCUUAGGAAUAAGCCUCGGCUAACUAGGUGCCAGCAGCCGCUGUAAUACGUAGGAGGCAAGCGUUAUCCGGAAUGACUGGGAGUAAAGGGUGCGUAGGGGGUUUGACAAGUUGGUAGCGUAACUCCGGGGCUCAACCUCGGCACUACUACCAGAACUGUUGGACUUGAGUGCAGGAGGGGCAGAUGGAAUUCCUAGUGUAGCGGUGGAAUGCGUAGAGAUUAGGAGGAACACCAGUGGCGAAGGCGAUUUGCUGGAAUGUAACUGACGCUGAGGCACGAAAGCGUGGGGAGCAAACAGGAUUAGAUACCACUGUAGUC
rnacentral:rRNA from 1 species